rnacentral:rRNA from 1 species
AACGAACGCUAGCGGCAGGCUUAAUACAUGCAAGUCGAGGGGCAGCAUGAUUGUAGCAAUACAAUUGAUGGCGACCGGCAAACGGGUGCGGAACACGUACACAACCUUCCAACAAGAGGGGGAUAGCCCAGAGAAAUUUGGAUUAAUACCCCGUAACAUAGCGAUGUGGCAUCACAUUGCUAUUAUAGAUUUUUCGCUUGUUGAUGGGUGUGCGGCUGAUUAGAUAGUUGGCGUGGGUAACGGCCCACCAAGUCUACGAUCAGUAGCUGAUGUGAGGGCAUGAGCAGCCACACGGGCACAGAGACACGGGCCCGACUCCUGCGGGAGGAAGCAGUGGGGAAUUGUUCGCAAUGGGCGAAAGCCUGACGACGCAACGCCGCGUGGAGGGUGAAGGUCUUCGGAUUGUAAACUCCUGUUGCCAGGGACGAAUGACUCGCGACCUAACACGUCGUGGGAAUGACGGUACCUGGUGAGGAAGCCCCGGCUAACUCUGUGCCAGCCGCCGCGGUAAAAC